rnacentral:rRNA from 1 species
AAAGUUGAUCAUGGCUCAGGAUGAACGCUGGCGGCGUGCUAAUACAUGCAAGUCGAACGGAAAGGCCUCUUCGGAGGUACUCGAGUGGCGGACGGCUGAGUAACGCGUAGGAACGUACCCCAAACUGAGGAAUAAGCACCAGAAAUGGUGUCUAAUACCGCAUGUGCUCUACGGAGUAAAGCUUCGGCGGUUUGGGAACGGCCUGCGUAUGAUUAGCUUGUUGGUGAGGUAAUAGCUCACCAAGCGACGAUCAUUAGCUGGUCUGAGAGGAUGAUCAGCCAGACUGGGACUGAGACACGGCCCAGACUCCUACGGGAGGCAGCAGUAGGGAAUUUUCCACAAUGGGCGAAAGCCUGAUGGAGCAACGCCGCGUGCAGGAUGAAGGCCCUAGGGUCGUAAACUGCUUUUAUAUGUGAAGAUUAUGACGGUAGCAUAUGAAUAAGGAUCGGCUAACUCCGUGCCAGCAGCCGCGGUCAUACGGAGGAUCCAAGCGUUA